rnacentral:miRNA from 1 species
UCAGGAGUGUGUAUGCAAAUUAACC